UGGCAGUGUGUUUUGGUGAUGUUGGA
rnacentral:piRNA from 1 species